ACCCCGGUGGUGUAAUGGUAGCACGUGUCCUCGGUGAAAAUACAACGCGGGUUCGAUUCCCUUCUGAGGCC